ACUGUCGGCUUCUUAAUCCUGAUCAAAUGUGGCUUUAUGAGGAGCUCUGUUUUGGUAAAUCUUACUUGGAAGCAAAAAGAAAACACAAAACCUCAAAUAGCAUGUUGAGAUUAAGAUGACAACUGCUACCAGAGUUCUGUCUGCUUCUCUUCGAUGUGGAAUCCACAAUUUUGAACAUUCGCAAAGACUGAUUUGCUCCAGGACUGUCUAGAACCACAUUCCCAGAAGUGUAUUCUGGGAGCAUUAGUCCUACCAGAUGCUCUACCAAAUAAAGGACUCUUGGCCAAGCAAGAUUUAGGAGUGUUGCUUACUCUGCCCUUUCCUAGUGAAAUUGCCUUUGCAAAGAUUAUGACAGUGAGAGAAAUCUCAC
rnacentral:lncRNA from 1 species